UGCCUGUUGCUGUUGCUGUGCUGUUGGUGUUGCUAGUGUUGCUGUUGUUUUGUUUGUUAGGUUAGGUUAGCGUAAGCAUGUUGUUUUGUUUGUUGCUUUUUUUGAUAUUAUUUUGAUUACAUAUUUUUGAACUUGCAGAAUAUUUUUAUUGUUUCUGUAUCAGCGAUGGAAUUUAAAGUUGAAAUUAAGAAAGAAGUUGAAGAGUAUGGCCAAAAUGAUAUACAACCUUACACAUCAAUAUAUCUGGAAGAAUUUAAAAUUCAACCAGUGGAAGAUUACCCAGUUAUGGACAAGAGAAAACGGCUUAGCGGAAAUGGUAAAAAAGUACCAGAAAACAUAGAAGUUAAAACAUGUCUGAUGACUAUCCCAAAAAUUAAUUCAUUUUUCACUACAAGAAGUAAUGAUCAUGAUGAAGCUGGUGGAUCCAGUUCUGCUAACACAGAAACUCCGUUGGCAAAACCACUAGAAAAUGUUAAUGCAGAAACAACUGAAGACUCUCCCAGUGCAACGUUAACACCACCUGAAGAUUUUUUUGUAUCUACCGAUCCUGCUGAUUGGACAAAAGAUGACAGAACAAUAGAAUAUUUAAUUAUGAAUCCUCCACAACAGGACCUGAAUAUUGACUUUUCAAGUUCCGCCAUUAGAGGUUCGACUGGAACGAACAGAUCCCUAACAAGGAAUAUUUUUUUCAGAAAAAUGUUGAACGGUGAAAUGAAGUUAAGGAAUUGGCUACUUUAUUCUAUAUCGAAGAAGAGUUUAUUUUGUAUUCCUUGCUGUCUAUUUCAGGCGCAACCGAAUUCUUUCACUACAGGUUUUAAAGACUGGAAGAAUGCUGCCGCCAGAUUAAAAAAACAUGAAGAAUCAAAGUAUCACACCGCAAAUGUCUUGAGUUUAUUCAAUCGAGGUAAAUUAAAAAACAGAAUAGACUGUUCCAUAACAAGUACGUUCAGAAGCGAAGUACAAUACUGGCGCAACGUUUUGCAACGUGUUGUUGCAACAAUAAUUACACUGACCACAAGGGGACUUGCCAUUAGCGGAGAUAAUUCAGUUAUAGGAUCAGUUGAAAACGACAACAUUUUAGGUUGUUUAGAACUCAUAGCAGAAUUUGAUCCUUUUUUACGCGAGCACCUUACUAAAUUUGGAAAUAUUGGCCAGGGGAACUGUAAUUAUCUGUCAAACACUAUAUGCGAGGAACUAAUAGUUUUGAUGGGAAGAAAAGUAAGAAGAACGAUUGUUGGCGAAUUAAAGCAAGAAAAAUACUAUUCUAUAAUAGUUGAUUCGACACCAAACGUGUCUCAUGUUGAUCAGCUAGCAUUUUUAGUUCGCUAUGUUUCUGGUGAUGGUAUGCCGACUGAAAGAUUUAUUAAAUAUAUUCCAUCUGAUGGUCACAACUCUGCUGCUUUGGAAUCGACAGUGAUUUCAACUAUAGAGGAAUGUACCAUUGAUUUAAGUGAUUGUCGCGGCCAGUCAUAUGAUAACGCAUCGAAUAUGUCUGGCAAAUAUUCAGGACUGCAGGCCAGAAUAAAAAAUCACAAUAAACUUGCUGAGUGCGUACCUUGCUCUGGACAUUCUCUCAAUUUAGUAGGAUCUUUAGCAGCAGAAUUCUGUCUGAACGCCACUUCCUUUUUCAUUUUUGUACAAGAAUUAUAUACAUUUUUCUCGGCUACCACAUAUAGAUGGAAAAUUUUGACUGACAACUUAAAAUCACCUGUUGUGAAAUCUCAUAGUGAAACUAGGUGGUCUGCAAGGGCGGACGCAACUAAAGCGUUAUACACUGACUUCAGCGAAAUAAAAAGUGCGCUUUUUAAUAUCUCUAACGACGAAUGUCAAACUGCAGCUGUGAAACAUCAAGCACUUUCUAUAUUUGAAAAAAUGGACACUUUUGAAAUGGCUUUAUUAGCUGUCAUUUGGCAACAUAUUUUAGAAAGAGUGAACCUUUCCAACGAGUAUGUCCAGAGUCCUGCAAUGGAUCUGGGAUCUGUCGUUAAAGAGUAUGAAGCUCUUUUAAAUUACUUUACCUCAAUCAGAAAUAAUUUUGCCAUUUAUGAAGAGGAAGCCAAAAAAUUAUGCCCAAAUAAAACAUAUAAAGAAAUAAGAAAGAGAAAAAGAAAAAUUCAAUUUGACGAGGGUGCCGAUGAUGAACUAAACUUUUCAGCUAGUAAUGAGAUGAAAAUCCACACAUUCUAUAUUCUAAUCGACACUCUUAUAAAAGACCUGAAUAUACAUCUGGAAUCUUAUCGACUUAUUUAUCAACGUUUUCGUGUUAUAACAGAUUUGCCAAAAUUAAACAAUGAAGAAAUUAUUAAAGAAGCUGAGAAUCUGAUACAAAUUUAUAAAGACGACCUAGAUACAUCAUUCAGACAUGAAUGCAUUCUCUUAAAGGGUCAAUUGGAUAUCACAAUAAAAUCGCCAAUUGACAUAUUUAAAUAUUUAAAGAACAGUGGAUUAAAAGAUGUUUUUCCUAAUUUUGACAUUGCUUUGCGCAUUUAUUUGUGCAUCCCAGUUGUCAACGUGUCCGCUGAAAGGUCAUUUUCAAAAAUAUCAAAAAUUGAAAAUAAUUUCCGAUCAAGUAUGACGCAAGAACGUCUUAACAAUUUGUCCAUUUUGUCCAUAGAAAGGGACGUAACAAAGGCGAUAAAUUAUGACGACAUUAUAGAUGAUUUUGCCAAAGAAAAAUCAAGAGAGAAUUGUUUGAUAUGAUCGAACUGACAUGACAAUUUUUUUCUGUUAUAUGUACGUCGUAGUUUAAAUCCAUUUUUAGUGUAUUCUUUGUUAGAGGACACUAAAUUGUGGGAACAAACCUUUGAAAUAUUGUGUUGGCAGCAGUGAGUGACAAGUUCCUGUCCUUUGUAAGAAUUGUCAUGUCAUAUGGUGUGACAGUUCAGUGUGGAAGUGAUAGAGAUUCAAAAAAACGCAGGCGGCAAAAACAAAAUAGGAACUACAUAAUAGAGGAAAACAAGAAGAAGGACAAGGACCACACAGGACCAAAGAAAAAAAUAGAUCUGAAGUUGACAGGACACCUGGUUGUGCAUUGCCUUGAGCAAGACGCGCAUAACCAAUAACAUGUACUGGGUAAAUGAUUAAAAAAAUCGAAACCCAAAAAAAAA
rnacentral:misc_RNA from 1 species